CUAGGGAGGCAGCAGUGGGGAAUUUUCCGCAAUGGGCGAGAGCCUGACGGAGCAAUACCGCGUGAGGGAGGAAGGCUCUUGGGUUGUAAACCUCUUUUCUCAGGGAAGAACAAAAUGACGGUACCUGAGGAAUAAGCAUCGGCUAACUCCGUGCCAGCAGCCGCGGUAAUACGGAGGAUGCAAGCGUUAUCCGGAAUUAUUGGGCGUAAAGCGUCCGCAGGUGGCAGUUCAAGUCUGCUGUCAAAGGUCAGGGCUCAACCCUGAACAGGCAGUGGAAACUGAACAGCUAGAGUGCGGUAGGGGCAGAGGGAAUUCCCAGUGUAGCGGUGAAAUGCGUAGAGAUUGGGAAGAACACCGGUGGCGAAAGCGCUCUGCUAGGCCUGCACUGACACUCAGGGACGAAAGCUAGGGGAGCGAAUGGGAUUAGAUACCCCAGUAGUCCUAGCCGUAAACGAUGGAUACUAGGCGUAGCUUGUAUCGACCCAAGCUGUGCCGUAGCUAACGCGUUAAGUAUCCCGCCUGGGGAGUACGCGCGCAAGCGUGAAACUCAAAUGAAUUGACGG
rnacentral:rRNA from 1 species